CGUACAAUUCCAGCAAUACUGUGGUGACAGAGUUUGUGUUUCUGAGCUUCCCAGAGCUGCACCAUCUUCAAGGGCUGCUAUUUGGUCACUCCUCAUCAUCUAUGUGGUGACCAUCCUAGAGGACCUGGCUGUCGUGGGGACCAUCAGAGCCAGCCACCACCUGCACAUAUCCACACACCUCUUCCUGGCCCAACUCUCGGUGCUGGAGACUCUGUACACCUCGGUCACCGUCCCAAAGCUGUUGGCCGGACUCCCAGCACGAGCGACGACCAUCUAUCUCCUUCUCGGGGCACCUCACCUGGCUGCUCCUCUUCCUCUCACUCAGCUCCUCUGAGUGCGUCCUCCCGGCCAACAUGGACUGUGACUGGCACCCAGUCAUCUGCCACCUGCUGCACUACCCAGCCCAUCAUGGACUCCAUGCAGCUGGCUCUGCCUGCACCUGGCCAUCAGCGCCCAGCUCAGCAGCUUCCCAGCCUCCUUUGUGUCCACGGCUCUCAACUCCAGCCUGAGGCUCCGCAGCCCCGAUGUCCUCAACCACUUCUGUGAUAUCCCACCCCCGCUAGGGCUCUCUUGCUCCAGCACCACUACCAUAGAAAUGCGGACUCAGGCAGCCCAGGUGAUCCUUGCGGCUUCCCUGCAGGCAACCACGGUCUCCUACACCCACAUCCUGGCCAGAUCGCUGAGGAUUCCAGAAAGGCCCAGCAGCUAAAGGCCUUCCCCACCUAUGCCUCCCACCUGGGGUGGCGGCUCCUCUAACCUCAUCAAGCUGGUGUCAGGGGUCUACUUGGUUGGGAUCCCUCUGCUCAAACCCAUCAUCUACUGCCUGGGAACUGCAACAUCAGGGAGGCCCUGGCCAAACUCCUCCAGGCCCUUCCCCUUUAGAGCUGCAGGAGGGAGAGCUGCCCAAUCC
rnacentral:lncRNA from 1 species